UCUCUCUCUCCCCCCCUUUUUUUUUUUGCACAUCUUUUCUUUAAACCUGUCAGAUCAUUUCAGUAUUUCAAAUCCGAGGAAAACAGCCUGCCUGCUGCUGUAUUUGAAGUUGUAAUGGUGUCAAAAAGUCACGACUGACUGACAGCCGUCAGUCCCAGAGGAGCUCAUUAAAUCAUAAAAACUUGACAAGGAAAUAAUUGAGCAUCACUGGCAACUUGGCGCCUGUUUAGACGUUUUUAUUUUCUUUCAUUAUUAGUCCCCACCAUUACGUUCAUUAACAAAUUGCAUUAAACAACUGUUAAGGGCUAAUGAUUUGUUUAUCGCUUUUUUUUUUUAUUAUUAUUAUUAUUUAAACAUUAGCUGCGUCAUGUGGUACCUCAGCAGCCUCAUACUAUCAUCUGACUGAAUAUUUUUCCACUCAGAGCUCUGGGUACUGCUGGAAUAUGAAAUAGAUUAUUCAUUACCCUCCUCUUUGCCACUGAUUUGGUUUCAUGUAGCGUCUUCCACAGAGAAAGAUGAAAACUUGUCAAAAAUAGGUUAUAUCUUAUUCUAAGGGCAACAAUAGCAGCAGGUACAGGCACACUUUAAUAUUUAAUUAAGGUUGAUGUUAACCCCUUUAAAUGACUUUAGCUGGUGCAGAAGAGAAAAAUAAUUGUACUUAAUUUGCAAACUGUACAGCAGGCAUUCAUCUUCGAGUUACUAGCAAAUUUAUAGAAUAAUUUUAAAUAAUGAAAUUUCCAAUCAUAAAUAUGUAUGUCCACUUUUUUUUUUUCUUUUUUGACAUGGUCGUCAAUUAACCACUUUUGCGCACAUCCUAAAUUUUAAUAAUAAUAAUAAUAAUAAUAAUAAUAAUAAUAAUAAUAAUAAUAAUAAUAAUAAUAAUAAUAAAUCUGUGUCCUUUUAAUUUUUGUUUUGAACUGCACUGUUCUCCUUUCAAAAUCUGGCUGGGAUGUUGCAGGGGUGGGAAAGAGGUCCAUGUGAAUCCUCUAUCAGGUUGUUAGCUGCGGUAAUGACUUACAUGGCUGUGUUCCUCACUGCUUGACAGCUUAUGAUAAACUUUGGGAGGAUGUGGGUUGAGGCUUAUUUUUUUUUGAAGGGGACAGGGUGUGUGUGUUGGCAUUUCUGUGUUGUUUGUAUGAGACCACGUGAAGGUUUUGUUUUCAAGCAGAUAAAAAUAACUGCUGCUUUUUAUAGGGGAAAAAAAAUAUUUAUUUUCUCUGCGUAGUUCCAGUUGUUGGUUGGAAAUAGCCCUGUUGCGGUAGGAAAAGCUUCAGGAGAAUUUUUAAGAUGGUUAAUAAAAAAAAGGGAUUCUUGUCACUGCAGCGGUAAAAGGCGGGGUGUUAGGCUCCCUUUGCUUCAUAAUAGUCAGGCUUUGAUCUUUUCUCAUUCAAUACAUCCAGAUGCAGUUUGUGUUCAGCAUUACAGGGUGGUAUUUACGGUGCGUCCCUAUGUCGGCAUCGCCGCAGAAAUGGCGACGGAGGCGUGAUGACAUAUCAAGGAGAUGCAGGAGAUGCUGCAAAGUAAAACCAUCCCAGUUGACAGAGCUCCCUUGCGCUUCCUUGGGAUAAUUUGUCACUUCUGGAGUCACGUGGGGUAAGAGGCACGUAGCAGGUGAAUAUUUUAUCAACCACUGCCUGGCAGUGGCUUUCAUUAUACGCCAUUAUACGCCAUAUCCUCACUAGAUACCAGCCUUUCACCUAGGUGGAAGAGACUUUGGACACGGUGGCUGGAGUGUGUGGUGUGAGUGCGCGCUCCCAGGCUCCAAAGAUAACGGGAAACAGAGGUGCGUGCUGAGAAACACUUUGUCAUCCUCAAUGGCUGUGUUUUAUUUGUCACCUAUAAAUAAUGAAGGCAUCUACAGGAAGGGGCUGGAAAGAGCGUAUAGACUGAGAGCCAGUGAACUUGUGUGCUCUUCAUCCCUUUAUCCAAACUACUGCCCUCGGCGUGAAUAACAGCGUGGCUGAUGCAGAGCUCCAUAUUGAUCUGUCUCUCCAGACGGUCCGCUGGUAGUUUCUUGGACUUUUCCUGAAGGUAUGGCUGUAACAGCUCAACAGUAUUGGGAUCUGUUGCUUCUAUCCCCAUUUCACGCCAGAUGAGUUCAGCAGGGACAGACCCAGAGUGAGAAUGCUCUCAGCCCUCCAUCUGUAGAGCUCUCUGCCUUCCCCAAGCACAGGGGCAACUAUUGCCUCUGCGUCAGAAAACCUGCUUGGGAAAUACUUGUACACAAGGAGAAGUAAAAUGGUGUCUGCUGUUGAAGGGGCAUCUCAGGGUCUAUUUAGGGGCAGUCUGCUUUCCCACAACUGCUGUAACUGUGUAAGAAACACUGCACAGUCCACAAGCGCUGCUUAUUCUGUCAAGCUAACUGAGAGGAGCUGGGGUAUCCACUUUUGGUAGCUCUUCACCAGCCAGGUACUGAGAGACAGCUGUAGCCUGAUCCUGCAGUUCUGGGGCUGUAGCCUGGGUUCUUACACAGUGUUUGUAGCCUUGACCUUAUAAGAAUGAAAGAGAUUAGAUUGCAUCCUGAUAAAGAAUGUUAUCUCUACAGGCCAAUGUUAGGUUUCACCCUAGGUGAGUGCCUAUUUCCUAAUUUUAUAUUAAAGAAUACAUGAAGGGAAUGCAUUGUCUGGAUGUCUGUCCUGCAAGAGCACAAUAUCGGGAAGGGAAAUUUUUAACGCACUUUAGAAGGUCUUAAGAAGUGCUGAGCCAAUUAACAACUGUAGAGGAAAGGGGGCUGCCUUCUUGUGGCCAGAGAAGUUAAUAAUAACUCCAGGUCUGUGUUGGCAGCUUUGUGGUGUUACAUCCCACUGGCUGCCAUGUUCUGGCUGCUGUCCUGGACCAAACUCAAAGCAUACCUUCUCUUGCUGUUUCCUUGUUCGGUUGUUUUCACCUUUCAGACCCACAGCCAUGGGUCCUGUGAGCACAUUCCCUGCUUCUGUGGAUUAAAUGAGCUUUCCAGUUCUUGUCUGCACCCAGCUAAGUAAUGUUGCUUCUUCCCAGAGCUGUGUGCCCUGUUUGCAUGUAUUUGCUUGUACAUAUUCCCUUUAUUGAUACUGCUUGCAGGAGUUUCAGUCAGGCAUGUCUUCUGACACAGCAAAAAAAAUACCCCCGGAAUUUACCACACAACCAGAGGACUUGCUUAUAAGCAAAACUAAUAUUUAACCUUUGUUUAGUAAAAACAGGUUUUUGACUUUGCUUUGUCUCAUUUGAUGCAUUUAUCUUUCAGUCCCCUUGUGACUUUAAGCUCUUUGCCCACACUCAAGCAAGUUUAAUACAAGAGCUAUCAGAUGUUUCUGUAGGUUUCUGGAAAAUAAGCAGUGAAGAAGAGAAGGGUCUCACUUGCGUCCCUACCAAGAGAAAGGCUGCAGCGUGACAUCCACCCAAAUUGGGCUCCACCUGAGAGGGAGAAAUUGCAAAUGCCUCUCUCCCCGGGAAGAGCUCACAUCCCAUUUAGAUACUAGAGAAUCCAACCCUGAGGAAACAGGGCCUCAUUAGUGUCAUUGCCCGAGGAACUACUUAAUUAAAGGACAACAGAGUUGUGAACAUUGUUAUGUGGGCCUUUGUUCCUUACACCUGGUCAUUUCCAUUGAUGUAAAAUGCCAUCUUUCUGAUCUGGUAGCAUUUGGCACCCACUUUAGACAAGUAUUCCUGACCAACCAAGAAGGUGCAGAGCAGGGAAGGAUCAGACCUUUAUUACUUAGGUAAUUACAGCCUCACCUAGCCAUCAGGCAGAGGGUGUACACCACUAUUAGCCAGUGCUCCCACAAAGAGAACAAAGGCGGCUGGGAAGUGGGAGCCACCCAGGGAGCAUCCCUGUGUCCAGCUACAACACUCUCAGGCGACAGACAUGCUGGGAGGUCAUGACCACAAGCUCUCGCAUCUCUGAGUCUCCUGGUUUUAAUCCAGCUUGACAUAGCACUACUGGUGAAGGCCAUGAGAUGGGGAGACUGAAACAAGAAAUGGCACCAUAACCGACAAAAUCAGCUCUGAGUUAAAAUGCUAAAGGACGUAGGGGGGAAGCUAUCAAAGCCUGUCACAGCAACUAGCCUAAUUCUGUUUCCAAAAAUCACUGUUGAGUUCUUUUGAAAAUUUUAUCCUAGAUGCUUGGCUCAAAGACCUUAACCAGUGAUUUUUCUUUUUUUUUUCCUGCUAUCUGUUGUACAAAAGCUAAAUAUAACCCCAUGUUAUUGAACAAAAUCCUAACAAACCCCCUGUUGCAGGUCUCAAAAAAAUCUUUACUCAGGAAAUUGAAUUAUUGGAAACCAGCAUCUAAAGUGUCCUUUGGUUUCAGAUGCUUCUUUGUAUUGUGUACACAGUUUGGCAUACAGAAAGAUGUUAUUUCCAACAGCAAAUGUUUGCCUUCUGUUCUUUUUAAGUUCUCCUAUUUGGCUUUUGUUCUCCUGCCCUCAGAAAACCAGGGCCUGAGUGUCUUCAGAUGGGUAGCUGAAAUUCCUUUUGAAAAUGUGGAUUAGUUUGUUUUAUCCAUACAACUAUGUGCAUAUGUGUGUCUACUGUUUGUCUGAAGAAAGUCUUAAUGACUUUUCCAUUGAUUGACUGUGGGACCACAAGCAAGUCAUAAAGCUAGCGUGUGCCUCAGUUUACCCUCUGCAGCUUCAUUAAUGCUAACCUGCCUCACGAGGUGCUGUAGUGUUUAAUAUAUUGUGUGCUCUGUAAUUCUUGGAUUAUGUAAGUGAAAAGCAUCUAUUUGAUGUAUAUGCAAAUGCCACAGUAUAAUAGGUAGGAGGGUCAUUUGGGUGUAAGUGUAAUACAGGCGCUGGCAAAGGGCAAAAGGGAUUCCAUUGUAUUGACUUAUUUUUAAAGAGCUUUUUAUUUACUGAAAUGCUCUGGACACCCAGAAAGAGAGACAUUCCUCACUAAGCAUGUCUGCCGUUUCAUCUGUCUUGAAGCGCUUUGAUAAAUGGAUUGAAACUUGUCGGCUUUUCCUGUAGUUUCUGAGACUCCCUCUGGAAACCCUGUUGAAAUGUUAUUAUGGUAACUUCUCAGAGCGCUACUUAAUGAAUCGUAACAGAUAUCCCUGCGAGUCCCACAGAAGCCUGGCAGAAGCAAGGCCCUGCACACAGACAGGCUGGAAGCCUUGCGUUCCCCACCAUUCACAGCCUGCCCUCACCACAGAGAUUGCUGCCCGCCCAACCUGAGUCAUUAGAGGACAUCUGCUGAGGAGGUUGGAAUGCCUGACCUGCACACAAAUGUGUGGAGUUGCCAUGCAGUUUGUGGGUGGAAGUCAACCAUCUUAGCGUCACCUUGGAACCCAGUACUUUACUCACUCUAUCACAUCACACAGUGGGGCAACGAAGUACCAUGGUGACUUUUUAUUUCCUACUUCCAUAAGACUCUUGCUCCUUCUCUGCUCUUCCUGAAGCAGGGGUGUGAGGCUGGUGAUAUGGAUAGGUGAGUUGGGUAGCUUGGGCAUGGUGUAGUGCACUCAAACAUCUCUGUCCCAGUGUAGCAGUCACUUGAGAGUUUCAGUGUUUUGUUUUGAUCUUCUCAUUGGUUUUCACUGUAUUGCUGCUUAGUCUGGUGUUUGUUGUUUUUUUUUAAGCAUAUGAACUAUUUAAGCUAUUACUACUCAAGUAGCCGUGAAGUGAUAAGUGAGUUAAGGCCCAACUCCACGUAAUUACCAGCUGUGCCCCUUUCCCUGCCAGGUGCUGCUGGCACACGCAGCAGGUACCACUGGUCAUCUGCAGCUACCUUCCUCUUUCCUCCAGGAGCAAACUUGGGUUCUUUAGAGUGAAAUAUUCAGGAAGAGAGGAGAGAAAUUUUGAAGGAGCUCCCACUAAGUUUGGCGUUGGAUCAACACUGCAAAGCAGGCAGCCAGAAGAGAGCAGCAUCUACACAAUACUCGACACAAUGAGGAGGAUUAGGAAUCUGGCUCAGUUCUUUGGGACCUGGACUGGGGUGUGGGGGUGCUAAACUGUCCUUUCUUUAAACUUUGUUUUAAAAGUACGUGUAAUUUUUCCAUUUUUGUGGAUCCUUGCUAAAAUAUCAUCUAUGUUCAAUACUGAUUUGUGAUCUGAGUUGAUGGGAUCAAAAAGGUAAAUAAAACCAAGGUUACCUUGA